UGCUUAACACAUGCAAGUCGAACGGAAAGGCCUGCUUUCCCUUGUGGAUUGCGGGUGCUCGAGUGGCGAACGGGUGAGUAACACGUGAGUGAUCUGCCCCCAACUUGGGUAUAAGCCUGGGAAACUGGGUCUAAUUCCCGAUAGGACUGCAGGGUGGUGCCUGUGGUGGAAAACGAUUUUCUAGUGGUUGGGGAUGAGCUCGCGGCCUAUCAGCUUGUUGGUGGGGUAAUGGCCUACCAAGGCGGCGACGGGUAGCCGGCCUGAGAGGGUGGACGGCCACAUUGGGACUGAGAUACGGCCCAGACUCCUACGGGAGGCAGCAGUGGGGAAUAUUGCACAAUGGGCGGAAGCCUGAUGCAGCGACGCCGCGUGGGGGAUGACGGCCUUCGGGUUGUAAACUCCUUUCGACCGCGAGGAAGCCGCCUGGUUGGAAGGGUGGUGACGGUAGUGGUAGAAGAAGCACCGGCUAACUACGUGCCAGCAGCCGCGGUAAUACGUAGGGUGCGAGCGUUGUCCGGAUUUACUGGGCGUAAAGAGCUCGUAGGUGGCUUGUCGCGUCGUCUGUGAAAGUCUGGGGCUUAAC
rnacentral:rRNA from 1 species